UACGGAGGGUGCAAGCGUUAUCCGGAUUCACUGGGUUUAAAGGGUGCGUAGGCGGAUAUGUAAGUCCGUGGUGAAAUCUCCGGGCUUAACUCGGAAAGGUCAACUGAUACUGUGCGACUAGAGUGCAGAAGGGGCAACUGGAAUUCUCGGUGUAGCGGUGAAAUGCGUAGAUAUCGAGAGGAACACCUGCGGCGAAGGCGGGUUGCUGGGCUGACACUGACGCUGAUGCGCGAAAGCCAGGGGAGCGAACGGG
rnacentral:rRNA from 1 species